rnacentral:rRNA from 1 species
GAUGAACGCUGGCGGCGUGCCUAAUACAUGCAAGUCGAGCGAACAGACGAGGAGCUUGCUCCUUCGACGUUAGCGGCGGACGGGUGAGUAACACGUAGGUAACCUACCUAUAAGACUGGGAUAACUUCGGGAAACCGGAUCUAAUCCCGGAUAAUAUUUCGAACCGCAUGGUUCGAUAGUGAAAGAUGGCUUUGCUAUCACUAAUAGAUGCACCUGCGCCGUAUUAGCUAGUUGGUAAGGUAACGGCUUACCAAGGCAACGAUACGUAGCCGACCUGAGAGAGUGAUCGGCCACACUGGAACGGAGACACGGUCCAGACUCCUACGGGAGGCAGCAGUAGGGUAUCUUACGCAAUGGGCGAAAGCCUGACGGAGCAACGCCGCGUGAGUGAUGAAGGUCUUCGGAUCGUGAAACUGUGUUAUUAGGGAAGAACAACCGUGUAAGUAACUGUGCACGUAUUGACGGUACCUAAUAAGAAAGCCACGGCUAACUACGUG